UUCAUGAAGAAGCGAUGAGCUGUAAACACAGGGGAAUCCCUCGAUUAUUCGCAACCUCCGGUGAUGCUCUUUAUCGCUUGUUCCAGUUCGCAAGUACCUUGGUCGAGUGAGAAUCGUUCUUUGUAGUCAGUUGUAGUGAAACAUUUGUUGGAGAACAUUCAGAACUUUUGGGUUUUGUGCGUAACUUUUCUUCUAAGUAAAAUGAAGAUAAGCUCGGUGUUUGAAAUCGUCACGCGAAUCGUGAUCCUCGCUUUGGUUGGGCUAAGUUUGACUAGUGCUGCUCCUGUGCAAGAUGACAGCGAUAUGAAGCUAGUGAGAGUUGCUCGCCAUCCAGCGACGACCUACAAAUAUCAAGACGCGAUAGCUGCCUAUACAUUUUCCCCGUUCGCUCCGAAGACUAGCCCUACGACGACCACUACGACUACGCCGAUUCCCAUCACGACAACGAAGAAGCCGUGGUGGAAACUUUGGAGAUAAUCUACCAUGUGUUAAAUGCAUUAUGAAACAGGUCUUUGUUCUUGAAUCAAUACAGAAUUAUCAGAUUAAUUAAAGAA